CCUAAACAUGCCCUACAACCAAAGGACUGAUGUAUAUCCUGUGUCGUAGAACCUCUUUUCUUGCGAAGGCCUCCCUGUUCAAAGCUGGCGCUUUUCCUUCCGUGGUAUCAGGAAAAGAUCCAGUACUAUCAGUGUUUUUGCAAUUAAUUUAUAUGCACGGCGCCCACAAGUGAAGGAGGCUCCUGGUGCUCAUGGUGAAAUAUUUUACUACACGGAACACAACGAUCGUAACAUGAGCCUUUUAAAAACACUUUGAUUCUCACAGAGAACAAGCCAUGUCACACAUAUCCUGGAGACAUCCAAGGUUAGGACAUUGAUCAGGUCCAGCAGGUGCCAUCACCAGACAUGACUCUCUCAACAUUACCUUCAACACAUGCAGCUACCAUUAUACUGGCUGCAAUACAGAUCACUCUCUGGCGUGUACUAGGAUCAGGAUGCAACCCUUGAACCUUUUCCAUUCAAAGCAAAAAGGACAUCCUCAUAUUGCCUACAUAGAUUAAAAACCAACAGUUCCUCAACUCCAUUGAAGAGGCAAUCUCUGGCAAUCCCACAUGGUGCAUAAGUAAAAUGGAACAUACUUUAAGACAACAUUUACAAUACUGCACACUCAACAUAAAACAAGAAUGAAAAUGCUAACUAGUUUGAGGCUAAUAUUGCUGUACUAGAACCUGUGAAGCGAUCAGUUCUCAUGAUUUACAUGAGCGAUCCAGGUAGAAAACUCUGAAUGCACUCAUCGCUGGUCAAAGUGAGGUCCAACAGAUUGCUAGGUGGUGCACCACUGAUGACUGGUUACAAAUUCACCAGAAUAUCCACAUGUUCCAAUACAGGAGCACAUAUGAUGGGAUUAAAAAAGCAAUGGGUCCAUCCUCAAAAGAAAACAGAUCUGUUGAAAACAAAGAUAUAGGAGGUCAAAGUCGACUGCAAUAAACUGAUGGAGAGAUGGGUGGAACACUAUCUUGAGUUGUGCUCCAGGGAAAACACUGUCACUGAGGAAGCUCCAGACACCAUAGAGAGCCUGCCUGUCAUACUGGGUACCGAACCGACAGUGAAGAAGCUUAGCAAAGUUAUUGACUUGCUUAACCGUUGGCAAAGCUCCAGGUGAAGAUGCUAUACCAUCUGAAUUCAUCAUGGAUGGGAGACCGGCACUCUUGCAGCAUCUACACAAACCUCUCUUUCUCUGCUGGACAGAAGGGGCAGUGCCUCAAGAUAUGCAUGAUGCAAAGAUUGUGACCGUAUACAAGAACAAGGGCAGCCACAGUGAUUGGAGUAGCUAUUAAGACAUCUCCCUGCUAGGUCUCGUGGGAAAAGUAUUUCUCCAUGUGGUCCUUGUCAGAUUGCAGAUCUUGACUGAACGCAUCUAUCCCAAAUCCGCGUGGUUUCAGAACUGUAGGACUGACAAGAUCUUCACAGUCCAGCAGCUACAAGGGAAAUGCCGUGAACAAAGAGGAGACCGCUCUAUACUGCCUUCAUUGACCUUUCCAAGGCAUUUGAUUAUCUGAGCAGGGGCAGUUUAUUUAAGCUGAAGAAAAUUGGCAGCCCACCGAAACUGCUCAGUGUGAUCUCCUCCUUUCAUUACAAUGUGAUGGGCAAGGUCAACAAUAAUGGGAUAGCAUCAGAAUCCUUCGAGAUCUGUAGUGAGUCAAACAGGGUUGUGUUCUGUUGCCAAUACUCUGGUAUAUUUUUCUCUUUGUUGCUAUCAUAUGCCUUCAGUUGAUCUAUAGAGGGUAUCUACUUACACACCAUAAUCAAUGAAUGGAUAGCUGCACUGCCUUGCCCACCUGAGAUCCAAGACAAAACUGCACCAAGUCCUCAUCGGAGUUGUUCUAUACUGAUGAUGCCACACAUUCCAUACCAAGGAAUAGCUUCAGUGGCAAAUGGAGAGAAUCUUUCAAGCCUGUAAAGAGUUUAGUUUGACUAUCAAGAUGAAUAUCGUGGUCCAGGAUGUUGUCAUACUGCCAUCAAACAGCAUUGAUAAUGUGAUGUUAGAGGUUGUGGAGGCUCCACAAUCAUCAGCAAUAUGUCACUUCAUACUGAAAUCAACAUGUACAUUGCAAAAGCUGCAUCUGUUUUGUCCAAGCUAAACAAGAGUAUGCAACAACAGCAACCUGGCUGAGAACACCAAAAUGUAAGUCUACCAAGCUUGCGUCUUUAGCGCACUCCUCUACAAUAGUGAAACCUAGACAACAUAUGCGCGGGAGGAGAAAAGGCUGGACAGUUUUCAUCUUCACAUGUCUCAGAAAUACCCUUGGCAGAACAAAGUCACCAACUCACACAUUUUGGAGCAUGCUAAUUCCAUCAGCAUAUACUCAUUACUAUAUCAACGAUGCCUGCACUGGCUCAGCCAUAUUCUGAUAACAGCCAUAUACACAAAGGCCUUCUGUGCAGUAAACUGGCUGGUGGGUCAUGACCUGUUGGACAUCCACAAGGACACCUGCAAGUGAUAUAUGAAGGUAGCAGAUCUGGACACAAACAAUUGGGGGACAGUUGCCAACACUCAGGUCCUCUGGAGGCUGUGUUCAGAGUGGCAUCAGAAGAAGUAAGGAGAAAAAGAUGGCUUAGCUGGCUGAGAAAAGGGCCAAGACAAACAAAGGCCAGCAAAUCCUGCACCUUCUCAGCUCACUGCCUUCAUUUGAGCCACACCAGGUGAUGUUUAACACAAGAUGACCACCAAGGUCCAAACCAUCAUCUCACAAGAUGGAAGGCUACCAGAACAGACUUCCAAUUUUCUGCUUUCACCACUUGUGCGCUCCCUACACCUACCUAUAUCUGUCCCCAAUCUGUGAAUAAUAAUACAAACAGAGUGAA